rnacentral:lncRNA from 1 species
UGAUUCAGCCCCCACCCCCCUUUCGCAUUCAUGGACCCUCCUUCUCGACUUCAGCGACGCUGGUACACUGCGCCAUAGCUGGAAUUUGCGCUGCAACAAGUUGCAUGACGCGACGAAAAACACCGUUUCUCAAAAUUCCACUUCCUGGUAAGGCUCUGGUAAGGAAUCCAUUGUGGGUUCUCUUUUUGUUACCAGAGAUGUAAAUUUCCAGUUCUUGAUAGAAUUAUACUUAUUUACAUGUAUAUAUGAUUUUUCUUUUUUUUUUUUUUUUUAUUUUUUCGAAUUCUUGGUUUAACAGGAAUCGUAUGUUCUUAAGAUCUGUGUAAAUUUUAUUUUUUUAAAUAUUCACUCUAAGAAAUGUGCAAUAUAGGUAUACAGUGGAUUUUUGAAGUGGACGCAAAGAAUUGCAUUGAAUGGCAGAUAUUGAUGAUAGAAGGUUAAGGAUGUAUGAAAAUUUUAACAGGGAGAACUUGUCCUUGUAGAAGUUUAAAUGCAAUUUGCAUAAGAUAAGUUUUAUUUUAAGAGCAUAUUAGAAGUUAUUGAAAAGUUUUGAAAAAAAUCAGAACAAUCACUAUUUUUGCAAGAGACAAGACAAGCAUUCAAUGUGUUACUGAAAUUUAACUUUCAUACUAUUAGUCUUGUAAAAAAACCACCAAAGCCAUGGCACAUGCUUUGCAAACAAUUUGAAAUCAUUUUACCAUCAA